rnacentral:rRNA from 1 species
GACGAACGCUGGCGGCGUGCUUAACACAUGCAAGUCGAACGGAAAGGCCCUGCUUUUGUGGGGUGCUCGAGUGGCGAACGGGUGAGUAGCACGUGAGUAACCUGCCCUUGACUUUGGGAUAACUUCAGGAAACUGGGGCUAAUACCGGAUAGGAGCUCCUGCUGCAUGGUGGGGGUUGGAAAGUUUCGGCGGUUGGGGAUGGACUCGCGGCUUAUCAGCUUGUUGGUGGGGUAGUGGCUUACCAAGGCUUUGACGGGUAGCCGGCCUGAGAGGGUGACCGGCCACAUUGGGACUGAGAUACGGCCCAGACUCCUACGGGAGGCAGCAGUGGGGAAUAUUGCACAAUGGGCGGAAGCCUGAUGCAGCAACGCCGCGUGCGGGAUGACGGCCUUCGGGUUGUAAACCGCUUUCGCCUGUGACGAAGCGUGAGUGACGGUAAUGGGUAAAGAAGCACCGGCUAACCACGUG